rnacentral:rRNA from 1 species
GAUCGGCCACAAUGGAACUGAGACACGGUCCAUACUCCUACGGGAGGCAGCAGUAGGGAAUCUUCCACAAUGGGCGCAAGCCUGAUGGAGCAACACCGCGUGAGUGAAGAAGGGUUUCGGCUCGUAAAGCUCUGUUGUUGGAGAAGAACGUGCGUGAGAGUAACUGUUCGCGCAGUGACGGUAUCCAACCAGAAAGUCACGGCUAACUACGUGCCAGCAGCCGCGGUAAUACGUAGGUGGCAAGCGUUAUCCGGAUUUAUUGGGCGUAAAGCGAGCGCAGGCGGUUGCUUAGGUCUGAUGUGAAAGCCUUCGGCUUAACCGAAGAAGUGCAUCGGAAACCGGGCAACUUGAGUGCAGAAGAGGACAGUGGAACUCCAUGUGUAGCGGUGGAAUGCGUAGAUAUAUGGAAGAACACCGGUGGCGAAGGCGGCUGUCUGGUCUGCAACUGACGCUGAGGCUCGAAAGCAUGGGUAGCGAACAGGAUUAGAUACCCUGGUAGUCCAUGCCGUAAACGAUGAGUGCUAGGUGUUGGAGGGUUUCCGCCCUUCAGUGCC